GCAGUCGAGCGAACAGACGAGGAGCUUGCUCCUCUGACGUUAGCGGCGGACGGGUGAGUAACACGUGGAUAACCUACCUAUAAGACUGGGAUAACUUCGGGAAACCGGAGCUAAUACCGGAUAAUAUAUUGAACCGCAUGGUUCAAUAGUGAAAGACGGUUUUGCUGUCACUUAUAGAUGGAUCCGCGCCGCAUUAGCUAGUUGGUAAGGUAACGGCUUACCAAGGCAACGAUGCGUAGCCGACCUGAGAGGGUGAUCGGCCACACUGGAACUGAGACACGGUCCAGACUCCUACGGGAGGCAGCAGUAGGGAAUCUUCCGCAAUGGGCGAAAGCCUGACGGAGCAACGCCGCGUGAGUGAUGAAGGUCUUCGGAUCGUAAAACUCUGUUAUUAGGGAAGAACAAAUGUGUAAGUAACUAUGCACGUCUUGACGGUACCUAAUCAGAAAGCCACGGCUAACUACGUGCCAGCAGCCGCGGUAAUACGUAGGUGGCAAGCGUUAUCCGGAAUUAUUGGGCGUAAAGCGCGCGUAGGCGGUUUUUUAAGUCUGAUGUGAAAGCCCACGGCUCAACCGUGGAGGGUCAUUGGAAACUGGAAAACUUGAGUGCAGAAGAGGAAAGUGGAAUUCCAUGUGUAGCGGUGAAAUGCGCAGAGAUAUGGAGGAACACCAGUGGCGAAGGCGACUUUCUGGUCUGUAACUGACGCUGAUGUGCGAAAGCGUGGGGAUCAAACAGGAUUAGAUACCCUGGUAGUCCACGCCGUAAACGAUGAGUGCUAAGUGUUAGGGGGUUUCCGCCCCUUAGUGCUGCAGCUAACGCAUUAAGCACUCCGCCUGGGGAGUACGACCGC
rnacentral:rRNA from 1 species